rnacentral:rRNA from 1 species
GAUGAACGCUAGCGGCAGGCCUAAUACAUGCAAGUCGAACGGUGUCUUCGGACAUAGUGGCGCACGGGUGCGUAACACGUAUGCAACCUACCUUACAUUGGGGGAUAGCCUUUCGAAAGGGAGAUUAAUACCGCGUAAGACAGUAGCUGGGCAUCCAGCAGCUGUUAAAGAUUUAUCGAUGUAAGCUGGGCAUGCGUCCAAUUAGCUAGUUGGUGAGGUAACGGCUCACCAAGGCAAUGAUUGGUAGGGGAACUGAGAGGUCAAUCCCCCACACUGGCACUGAGAUACGGGCCAGACUCCUAAGGGAGGCAGCAGUAGGGAAUAUUGGGCAAUGGACGCAAGUCUGACCCAGCCAUGCCGCGUGCAGGAUGAAGGCGUUAUGCGUUGUAAACUGCUUUUAUACAGGAAGAAACGACUCUUGCGAGAGGCAUUGACGGUACUGUAUGAAUAAGCACCGGCUAACUCCGUGCCAGCCGCCGCAGUAAAAC